rnacentral:rRNA from 1 species
CGGAUGUGAAAUCCCCGGGCUCAACCUGGGAACUGCAUUCGAAACUGGCAGGCUAGAGUCUUGUAGAGGGGGGUAGAAUUCCAGGUGUAGCGGUGAAAUGCGUAGAGAUCUGGAGGAAUACCGGUGGCGAAGGCGGCCCCCUGGACAAAGACUGACGCUCAGGUGCGAAAGCGUGGGGAGCAAACAGGAUUAGAUACCCUGGUAGUCCACGCCGUAAACGAUGUCGAUUUGGAGGUUGUGCCCUUGAGGCGUGGCUUCCGGAGCUAACGCGUUAAAUCGACCGCCUGGGGAGUACGGCCGCAAGGUUAAAACUCAAAUGAAUUGACGGGGGCCCGCACAAGCGGUGGAGCAUGUGGUUUAAUUCGAUGCAACGCGAAGAACCUUACCUG